AAAUUGAAGAGUUUGAUCAUGGCUCAGAUUGAACGCUGGCGGCAGGCCUAACACAUGCAAGUCGAACGGUAACAGGAAGAAGCUUGCUUCUUUGCUGACGAGUGGCGGACGGGUGAGUAAUGUCUGGGAAACUGCCUGAUGGAGGGGGAUAACUACUGGAAACGGUAGCUAAUACCGCAUAACGUCGCAAGACCAAAGAGGGGGACCUUCGGGCCUCUUGCCAUCGGAUGUGCCCAGAUGGGAUUAGCUAGUAGGUGGGGUAACGGCUCACCUAGGCGACGAUCCCUAGCUGGUCUGAGAGGAUGACCAGCCACACUGGAACUGAGACACGGUCCAGACUCCUACGGGAGGCAGCAGUGGGGAAUAUUGCACAAUGGGCGCAAGCCUGAUGCAGCCAUGCCGCGUGUAUGAAGAAGGCCUUCGGGUUGUAAAGUACUUUCAGCGGGGAGGAAGGGAGUAAAGUUAAUACCUUUGCUCAUUGACGUUACCCGCAGAAGAAGCACCGGCUAACUCCGUGCCAGCAGCCGCGGUAAUACGGAGGGUGCAAGCGUUAAUCGGAAUUACUGGGCGUAAAGCGCACGCAGGCGGUUUGUUAAGUCAGAUGUGAAAUCCCCGGGCUCAACCUGGGAACUGCAUCUGAUACUGGCAAGCUUGAGUCUCGUAGAGGGGGGUAGAAUUCCAGGUGUAGCGGUGAAAUGCGUAGAGAUCUGGAGGAAUACCGGUGGCGAAGGCGGCCCCCUGGACGAAGACUGACGCUCAGGUGCGAAAGCGUGGGGAGCAAACAGGAUUAGAUACCCUGGUAGUCCACGCCGUAAACGAUGUCGACUUGGAGGUUGUGCCCUUGAGGCGUGGCUUCCGGAGCUAACGCGUUAAGUCGACCGCCUGGGGAGUACGGCCGCAAGGUUAAAACUCAAAUGAAUUGACGGGGGCCCGCACAAGCGGUGGAGCAUGUGGUUUAAUUCGAUGCAACGCGAAGAACCUUACCUGGUCUUGACAUCCACGGAAGUUUUCAGAGAUGAGAAUGUGCCUUCGGGAACCGUGAGACAGGUGCUGCAUGGCUGUCGUCAGCUCGUGUUGUGAAAUGUUGGGUUAAGUCCCGCAACGAGCGCAACCCUUAUCCUUUGUUGCCAGCGGUCCGGCCGGGAACUCAAAGGAGACUGCCAGUGAUAAACUGGAGGAAGGUGGGGAUGACGUCAAGUCAUCAUGGCCCUUACGACCAGGGCUACACACGUGCUACAAUGGCGCAUACAAAGAGAAGCGAACUCGCGAGAGCAAGCGGACCUCAUAAAGUGCGUCGUAGUCCGGAUUGGAGUCUGCAACUCGACUCCAUGAAGUCGGAAUCGCUAGUAAUCGUGGAUCAGAAUGCCACGGUGAAUACGUUCCCGGGCCUUGUACACACCGCCCGUCACACCAUGGGAGUGGGUUGCAAAAGAAGUAGGUAGCUUAACCUUCGGGAGGGCGCUUACCACUUUGUGAUUCAUGACUGGGGUGAAGUCGUAACAAGGUAACCGUAGGGGAACCUGCGGUUGGAUCACCUCCUUACCUUAAAGAAGC
rnacentral:rRNA from 1 species